rnacentral:rRNA from 1 species
CAGCCGCCGCGGGAAUACGUAGGGUGCGAGCGUUAAUCGGAAUUACUGGGCGUAAAGCGUGCGCAGGCGGUUAUGUAAGACAGUUGUGAAAUCCCCGGGCUCAACCUGGGAACUGCAUCUGUGACUGCAUAGCUAGAGUACGGUAGAGGGGGAUGGAAUUCCGCGUGUAGCAGUGAAAUGCGUAGAUAUGCGGAGGAACACCGAUGGCGAAGGCAAUCCCCUGGACCUGUACUGACGCUCAUGCACGAAAGCGUGGGGAGCAAACAGGAUUAGAUACCCGGGUAGUCCCUGUCUCUUAUAC